rnacentral:misc_RNA from 1 species
UGCAAAUUCAUUCAUUUUAAAUGUCAGUUCUGAUUGGAUCCCACCAUUCCAGCUGCAGUAUCUUGAAAUAGGUUCGUGCCAUCUUGGUCCUUUGUUUCCUGAGUGGCUUAGAUCACAAAAGGAGUUGGAAUAUCUACAUUUCCCAGAUGCCAGUGUUUCAGGUUCAAUACCAGAAUGGUUUUGGGAAAUGUCAGGCAACCUAUCCGUGUUGAA